AUGCUUGCUUUGGCAGCACAUAUAAUAAAAUUGGAACAAUACAGAGAAGAUUAGCAAGGUCCCUGUGCGAGGAUGACGUGCAAAUUCAUGAAGCAUUCUUUUUUGUU
ensembl:snRNA U6 U6 spliceosomal RNA